CCCUAUGGGGUGCAGCAGGCGCGAAAACUUCACACUGCAGGAAACUGUGAUGAGGGAACUCCUAGUGCAUGCACUAUGUGUAUGUAGAUCCUACUCUUAACAAGUAGAGGGAAAGGGCUGGGAAAGACCGGUGCCAGCCGCCGCGGUAAUACCGGCAGCUCAAGUGGUCGUCGCUUUUAUUGGGCCUAAAACGUCCGUAGCCUGUUUGGUAAAUCUGUGGGUAAAUCAACCUGCUCAACGGGUUGAAUUCUGCAGAGACUGCCAGACUAGGGACCGGGAGAGGUGUGGGGUACUCGAGGGGUAGGGGUAAAAUCCUGUCAUCCUUCGAGGACCACCAGUUGCGAAGGCGCCACACUGGAACGGAUCCGACGGUCAGGGACGAAGCCUAGGGGCACGAACCGGAUUAGAUACCCGGGUAGUCCUAGGUGUAAACGCUGUGAACUUGGUGUCGGGGGUCCGCAAGGGGUCCCCGGUGCCGGAGUGAAGAUGUUAAGUUCACUGCCUGGGGAGUACGGUCGCAAGGCUGAAACUUAAAGGAAUUGGCGGGGGAGCACUGCAACGGGAGGAGCGUGCGGUUUAAUUGGAUUCAACGCCGGAAAACUCACCAGGGCCGACUGUUAGAUGAAGACCAGCGUAAUGAGCUUGUCGGAUUUUCAGAGAGGUGGUGCAUGGCC
rnacentral:rRNA from 1 species